AUUGAACGCUGGCGGUAUGCUUAACACAUGCAAGUCGAACGAUGAGAAAGAGCUUGCUCUUUCGAUUAGUGGCGGACGGGUGCGUAACGCGUAGGAAUCUACCUAUUAGUGAGGGACAACUUAGGGAAACUUAAGCUAAUACCGCAUACGCCCUACGGGGGAAAGAAGGGGCUCGCAAGACCUUUUGCUAAUAGAUGAGCCUGCGUAGGAUUAGCUAGUUGGUGGGGUAAAAGCUCACCAAGGCGACGAUCCUUAACUGGUUUGAGAGAAUGAUCAGUCACACUGGAACUGAGACACGGUCCAGACUCCUACGGGAGGCAGCAGUGGGGAAUAUUGGACAAUGGGCGAAAGCCUGAUCCAGCAAUACCGCGUGUGUGAAGAAGGCCUUAGGGUUGUAAAGCACUUUCAAUUGGAAGGAAAACCUCGAAGCUAAUACCUUCGAGUUUGACAUUGCCUUUAGAAGAAGCACCGGCUAACUCCGUGCCAGCAGCCGCAGUAAUAC
rnacentral:rRNA from 1 species